UGGGGAGACCGGGGAAACAUAGGGUAACUGUAUUUCCCGGAACACCUGUAAUGUAACCUUUAUCGGCAGAAACGGUGAUAUUAACGUCACACAACAAUAAUGUCGACUAAAGGAGUGUAAUUCAUCACAGCAGAGGAGAUCAGACUCUUCAGGACUCGGCUGUGUGUUUGUGCUAUCUUUACUAAUUUUCAAAGAUGGAUAAUCCUGACCGGGACAAAGAUAUUUCCAGGCUCUUAGAAGAACGGACCUCUGCAAUUCGACUGGGCUCUCAAUCAACUUCUGGGCCAAAUCCUGACUGAUAGCAACCCAUUCUUUUAUAAUCACUUCUUGGAGUUUGUCAGAAUUUGUUUGUCCACCCGCCUCUUGAGGAUUGACCACAAGUUCUCAAUGGGAUUAAGAUCUGGGGAGUUUUCAGGCCAUGGACCCAAAAUUUCAACGUUUUGGUCCCCAAGCCACUUAGUUAUUCAAUUCAAUUUUAUUUGUAUAGCGCUUUUAGCAAUUGUCAUUGCCGCAAAGCAGCUUUACACAAUCAAAAGAAUUAUUUAAGUUUGUAUGAAAUGUGAAUGUGUAUGAAUCAAAAUGGUCAGUUUGUCCCUGGUGAGCAAGCCGAGGGCGAAAGUGGCAAGGAAAAACUCCCUGAGAUGGUAAUAGGAAGAAACCUUGAGAGGAACCAGACUCAACAGGGAACCCAUCCUCAUUUGGGUGAAACAGAAAGGAGUAAAUGAUCUGCAUUUAUCACUUUAAAAGUUUUCACUUUUGCCCUAUGGCACGGUGCUCCAUCGUGCUGGAAAAUGCAUUGUUCUUCACCAAACUGUUGUUGGAUUGUUGGAAGAAGUUGCUGUUGGAGGGUGUUUUGGUACCAUUCUUUAUUCAUGGCUGUGUUUUUGGGCAAAACUGUGAGUGAGCCCACUUCCUUGGAUGAGAAGCAACCCCACACAUGAAUGGUUGCUUUACUGUUGGCAUGACACAGGACUGAUGGUAGUGCUCACCUUUUCUUCUCCGGACAAGCCUUUUUU